CCUUCGAUAGCUCAGUUGGUAGAGCGGUGGACUGUAGUUGGUUAUUUAUCAGAUAUCCAUAGGUCACUGGUUCGAGUCCGGUUCGAAGGA